rnacentral:antisense_RNA from 1 species
GAAUUAUGCUUGAAGAAGGUUAAUCUUAUAAUGGCAUGCAGAGUGGAGCUGGGGAAGGCCAGAGGCUAAAUAUCGAGCCAGAAAGAUACUGCAGAAAGUGAGCAAAAAGGAUGAGUGGAUGGCCUGGAGUGGAAUCUGUGAAAAAGGGCAGAUUGUCAGUCUCAGGAAAUCAACAGGACUGAGUUCUAACUUCAGCUGGGCUACUAUGCCCUGGGGAAUCAGAAGAUUCUCCCUAACAUUGGAGUCCAAAGAAGAGGAGCCACCAUCUCCUUAACUAUAAAACAACUGAGAGAAGAAAUGUCUCCCUUUAGUGCCAGUGAAGAGUUUUGCUUCACUAGAACAACUGUUUAUUUUUGAUCUUAUGAAACGCGUGACACUUGUAAUUGAUUUGCCUUCUUUUUGCUUGCUGCUAGAAAUCUCAGAACCAAAUUCGAGGUCAUUUCUGAAUGUGCUGGACUACACAGCAUGAAUUCUGUGUCCUCACCUCAUUCAUAGAUACAUUUUUUUAUUUCCACCCAUCUUUUCCUUUCCCCAGAUUUUCCUAUUGCUCUUUUAUCAUCUUGAGUAAAGAAGGUUAAACUAUGAAUAAAAAGUACAAUCUCAAUGAUGAGUCAGGGAAAAGUAAGUUUUGGACUUCCAUUUAGAGCCAUUUAUAGGUCAGCAAUCUUUUGUCUCUGUGUCUUCCUUCUGCCCUGAACAACCAAGGCAUCCUAGUCAGUCUUUCUUCAUCUGCAUACCACUUUAGAGAGCCCAGGCAUCUUCCAUGUACAGUCAUUACUAAGAAAAUGUCUUCAGUAAAUUUUUUUUUUUUUUUUGAGAUGGAGUCUCGCUCUAUUGCCCAGGCUGGAGUGCAGUGGCACAAUCUCAGCUCACUGCAAGCUCCGCCUCCCAGGUUCACGAAGACUCCCAAGUAGCUGGGACUACAGGUGCCUGCCACCACACCUGGCUAAUUUUUUUUGUAUUUUUAGUAGAGACGGGGUUUCACUGUGUUAGCCAGGAUGGUCUUAAUCUCCUGACCUCACAAUCCACCCGCCUCAGCCUCCCAAAGUGCUGGGAUUACAGGUGUGAGCCCCAGCGCCCGGCCUUCAGUAAAAUUUUAAUGCAUGUUGCUUAUCAUUCUUUGUAUUGUAAGCACCAAUCCUUAAUCUUUGCUGUGGUUUUUGUUCAGAAACAUUUCUUUAAAAAAAUUUCCCCAGACACUCAGCCUUCAUAUUCUAAUCUUUAUUAUUCUGAACUACCUACAAAGCUAAAUAUACCUUGUCUACAUGCAGUGCUUAUGUAACAAUGGUGCUUAUUUUGUUUUACAUUGCUUCAACCUCUGACCAGAAACUUAGGGGACAGAAUGCCCUGCUCUUACAAAAAAUGUGGUGACCACAACGGUAACCUUAUCUAAUUGAGACCAUUUUAGGAAGGAGUGGAGGAGAUAUUUUGACUGCAAAGACUGAGUCAUAAGCCUUCAUUUUUUACCCUGGGUUGUGCAGAAACUUUAAACUUUUUAUAUUAUUUCAUUUCUUCCAUACCAGGACAUUUAUUUCCUAUUCAGUGACAAUCUUGAUGUUUUCAUCCUUCAAACUGCUCUCUAACAUAGUUUCAAAAUCCAAGCAUUAAACAUUAUUAAUGCUCCGCGGAUGAAUAUGUUCAUUACCUUUAUUGUAGUGAUGAUUUCAUACGACAAAAUGAUAAAUGAUGUAAAUAUAAUAAUAAUUAUCGUAGUUAUUAAUCAUAGUAAUAAAACUGGACUACCUAAAGCACA